AUGCCCACGGCCAGGGCCACCACUGAAGGGCAAUCUUCUGCUACUAGGCCUCUUGCCACUGCCUCCCCAGCUGGAUUCAAAGCUGCAGGAAUACUCCAGGCCCUCCAGGUGUCAAAGCUGGGCUUUACUUGCUGCUCUCCUUACCUUCUGCACUACCAGUCUCACCCUUCCUUCAAACCAAGUUAAGAGAGGGGGACUCUGCUAUUUCUGGUUGACCUUAUCCUGUGUUUUGUAAGGAUCUGGAGUUGCACAGGUGAAGGAAGUGGUCGGAGGAGAGGAGAAAGUUACGGAAACAGCUGCUGUGGGAGAAGCACUUCACUCCCUCUCUGCUCCAUAGUCUGUGCUAAAAUCCAAGUGGGAAAUGGAAAUGGGGAGUUAUGCUAUUUCCAGGUUUCUGUUGGGGGCCUUUCCAUGCUGAAACCAAAUCAUAGGAUGUAAGACAGGGACACUCCAGUUUCCUUCUAAAGUGGUGGCAGGACCAUUUAUUCAUGUAAAUCCUGACAGGGUUAAUUGAAUUGUUUUGACACUCGUUAGGUGAAUGUGGAGGAGAUGGGUGUGUGCCUGCUCUCCUGCUCUGUUUCCCUCACAUCCCUCUCCCAUUGUUAUCUUCUUAAUUUCACAUUUUUCAGUCAUGGUGGGGGUGUGGGGAACAAUCAUUCCCAGUUGCUACCAACCAUAAGUACAAACUGAAUGCAGACUGCUCCUCAAUCACUGAGCACUGAUUUUACCCAACAAUAUUGGACCACUCCAGGAUGGGAGCCAUCAUUCAAAGUGUCCCCCAGAAAGUUGCCACUGGAAAUAUAUGAAUACUGAUUUUUGUGUGUGUGUGUGUGUGUGUGUGUGUGUGUCUUUUUGCCAUUUCUUGGCCGCUCCUGAGGCAUAUGGAGGUUCCCGGGCUAGGGGUCGAGUCGGAGCUGUAGCUGCCAGCCUACACCAGAGCUACAGC
rnacentral:lncRNA from 1 species